UGCAUUCUCUUUUGGUGGCCC
rnacentral:miRNA from 1 species